CCAACAUGGAUACCCUGGAUCUCACUCUCCCUGGGCUCUGUCCUGGGGCACAGGAUUCUGUCCAUCAUGUACAGUCCUUUCCCCAAGUGUUGGGUGUGGGGCUGGGUUUUGUGUCUGAACCUGCAUAUUCUUAUGACUUCCCAGAGUCUUGUGGACAAUGACUGAGGAGAUAAAACCUGCAGGACUAGGCU
ensembl:snoRNA SNORA73 Small nucleolar RNA SNORA73 family